UCGUAGGUGACCUGCGGAAGGAUCAUU
rnacentral:rRNA from 1 species